rnacentral:rRNA from 1 species
GGGGACCCGCACAAGCGGUGGAUGAUGUGGAUUAAUUCGAUGCAACGCGAAAAACCUUACCUACCCUUGACAUGGCUGGAAUCCCGGAGAGAUUUGGGAGUGCUCGAAAGAGAACCAGUACACAGGUGCUGCAUGGCUGUCGUCAGCUCGUGUCGUGAGAUGUUGGGUUAAGUCCCGCAACGAGCGCAACCCUUGUCAUUAGUUGCUACAUUUAGUUGAGCACUCUAAUGAGACUGCCGGUGACAAACCGGAGGAAGGUGGGGAUGACGUCAAGUCCUCAUGGCCCUUAUGGGUAGGGCUUCACACGUCAUACAAUGGUACAUACAGAGGGCCGCCAACCCGCGAGGUGGAGCUAAUCCCAGAAAACCGAUCGUAGUCCGGAUCGCAGUCUGCAACUCGACUGCGUGAAGUCGGAAUCGCUAGUAAUCGCGAAUCAGAAUGUCGCGGUGAAUACGUUCCCGGGCCUUGUACACACCGCCCGUCACACCAUGGGAGUGGGUUGCACCAGAAGUAGCUAGUCUAACCUUCGGGAGGACGGUUACCACGGUGUGAUUCAUGACUGGGGUGAAGUCGUAACAAGGUAACCGUAAGGGC